UCAAAAUCAACAAAAAAACUUUGUGGAAGAAAUUCAAGCCAUGUAGACUAAGGAUAUGACUGACUUUUUGAACUUUUUCUUGCAAAAACGGUUCAUGGAAAUGUCACAUCAUCUAAAGGAGUUACCUUAUAUACUGUGGUGUUAUUUUUCAAAGGUGAUUUUUAAUGUAUUGGAGAGGCACUAUGCAACUUGCCCUCAAAUUCCAAGCCCUAAAGAAGCCAUGAGACAUUUAGUUGAAUCAGAGAAAAGAUGCAUUGGCUGAUUGGCUACAAAACUCUUUGGAGAUGGAAAGAUUGAUUUUCAAAACAAUCAAUCCAAAAUAUGAGGUAUUGGUUUUUCAAUCAUCUACCCUGGAGAAGAAGCUGAUGGAGGAGCUCUCGAAAGGUGCCCACACGAUGAUGCUCAACAUAUAAGCUUGGAGCUGGUCAACAUUGAUCAUUUAUCAAAUAAUAACAGUGAUAAUGUUCAGAAAGCAUUCCAAGUUUACAUAAAAGUUGGUAUAUAUUGGGAUAUUAUUUCCUUGAGAUUGCCUGAGUUUAUUAUGGUCUAUAUGACAUCAGCUAUCGAGAGGUUGGUUGAUAAUAUUAAAGGGGAUAUAUUUAUUCAUAUGUGUCGUAGUCUAAUGGGGGCAUGAUAAAUAUUUCAUUUUGCCUGUUUUAUCUCCUAAUGAGUGAUGCUUGAAGAGCGUCUAAAAGCCCAUAAGAAGCAGUUGGUGGACAUCAUUGAAGUUUAAUUUAGUUUUGAAUGUGAUCAAGUAUUAAGUGAUGCAUGAAAGGUAUUUUUUUGUGGUUUAUGUUCUUUUAGGUUAUUUUUUUAAUUUAAAUUUUUGGGUUUGACGUAAUUAUGCUGCUACAAAAAGACAGUUGGGAAGUAGUAGCUCGAUUGUUAAUUUUUUCAUGUUUAGGUGUGUCAUCAUCACUUGGUUUUUAAAUAUUUUAUGAGUUUAGAUAAUCUCUUAGUUUUAAUAUACUUUAUUUUAUGUCUGAACCCACCUUUAAUUUUUCUUCAUCCUUGUUAACCAUUGGCUCUGAUACCACUAGUUGGGAUCGAAAUAAUAUGGAGCAUGCUAGAGCUAACAAAGAGAAUUUUGAUGAUACUAAAAAAUAUAAAACAUUAAUAUAGUUGGAAAACUGUCCUACAUAUGAUAAAAUUAAUUAAAAAGAAAAAAACUAUCUAAAGAAAAAUUUCUACCUAACAAUACUCUUUGGUGUUUACACUGUGAAAGUUGUAUUUCUUGCCACAACUAAUAGAGUUCUUUCACAUUUCUUGUCGACUUUCUUAGAUAUAUUCAUUGACUCAACUUUUUUAGGCAAUGAAUCAGUACUGACUGAUAAUACAUUCAAGAUAAUCUUGUCCUCGGGGUCAAAUAAUUCAAAAUCAUCUGCUAUAUUCGCUCAUAUAUCUCUUUAUUAGCUUCGUCUAAGGUAGGAAUCUCUGCGAAAUCCACAAUUGUAAGAUCAGAAAAACCGUUCUUCUUCAGGAUUAGAGUCAAAUGGUUGUAAGAUACUCCAUUUGUUAUGCCAACAAUUGUGUUUGUCACCCGACUUAUUUCUAAGGCUAUAUACCACUAAUCAUCAUCGGUAGUACUUCUCAGUGUCCUUGUUUUCUCAUCAAACUCGAGGGAAACCUCAAGUUUACGACUAUGAUAAUUUUGAAGCUUAAUAAGGAUAGGAACCCGAGUGCAGAAGUGUCCUUCUAAUAGAAUUUUGAUUCCGAUAAGGGAUGCAAUAAGACAAGAUUUACCUAAACAUGUGUAACCAGCUAGAACACCUGUAGGCACUGCAGGGGGUUGGAUACAUUGCUGCAUCACGCUUAAGCUUCGUUGGAGCUUAUUAAUGAAAUGAAAGAGCGGGGGCAGGAUAGUUUCAUCGGUUAUAUGAUAAGACAUUAGGUGGCGCAUAAUCUUCUUCUGGCCGUGAAUUGCUUUUCUUUUCACUAAUGUCCAUUGCUUGUUCUUUGUUCCAAGAAAAGAUGGAAUGUCACGUUUAGGAUUUAAACCCGUGAAUUAGAGCAAGUUUUGAAUAUUCUUUGCCACUUUAUUAGAUUUUUUUUCUUAUAUUAAAGGGAAUCAACAUUUUAUCCAGUUAAUGAGAUAAAGUAUGGCCCAUUUCCACUAUAUAAACUACUUGUUCUCUUUAUAUUCAUUGUGCUUAAAACAACUUUCUUCUCCAUUUUCUUUCUAGUGACAAAUACUAUAGUUUAUUCAAAACUCCAAUGGCCAGUAGUGUUAAAGUACUUAACGAUGAAAUUAUAGAAAAAAUUGUUGCAAUUGAAGAGUCUCCACCUUAUUUGGAUACUCACGAAGAAGUAUAUCUUGAAAUCAAAUGGAUUUCGGAAUACACAAAUGACUCACUAACCAAACUUUUUAAGGGUGAUUAUAGAGAGUUUCCUAAAAAGGGUGAUUAAGGAGAGUUUCCUAAAAAUUCUCAAAUGGAGGUUGCUGCUAGGAUACCAACUCAUUUCAAGAGCUUCUUUGAUAGCAUUCAGCUCAAAAAAGUUCGUCAAAACCAACAAAAAUUUUUGGUGGAAGAAAUUCAAGCCAUGCAGACUAAAGAUAAGAAUGACUUCUUGAACUUUUUCUUGCAAAAAAGGAUCACGGGAAUAUCAUAUCAUCUAAUGGAGUUACCCUGUCUACUGUGGAUUUAUAUUUCAAAGAUAAUUUUUAAUGUAUUGGAGAGGCACUGUGCAACUUGCCCUCAAAUUAUAUGCCUUAAAGAAGCCAUGAGACAUUUAGUUGAAUCAGCGAAAGACGCAUUGGCUGAUUGGCCACAAAAAUAUUUGGAGAUGGAAAGAUUGAUUUUCAAAACCAUCAAUCAAAAAUAUGAGGUAUUAGUUUCUCAAUCAUCAACCCUGGAGAAGAAGCUGAUGGAUGAGCUCUCGAAAAAUGCUCACACGAUGAUGCUUAACAUAUAAUACUUAAGUUGGUCAACACUGAUCAUUUAUCAAAUUAUAACAGUGAUAUUAUUCAGAAAUCAUUCCAUGUUUACAUAAAAGUUGGUAUUUAUUAGGAUAUUAUUUCAUUGAGAUAUGCUGAUUUAUGAUGGCCUAUAUGACAUCAGCUAUCCAGAAGUUGGUUGAUAAGAUUUAAGGGGAUGUAUUUAUUAAUAUGUGGCGUAGUCUAAUGGGGCAUGAUAAGCAUUUCAUUCUGCCUGUUCUAUCUCCAAAACGAGUGAUGCUUGAAGAGCGUCUAGAAGCCCUUAAAAAGCAGUUGGUAGCCACGAUAGAAAUUUAAUUUAUUUUUGAACGUGACCAAGUAUUAAGUGAUGCAUGAAAGGUGUUUCUUUUGUGGUUUAUAUUGUUUUAGUUUAUUUUUUUAAUUUAAAUUUUCGGGUUUAACGUAAUUAUUCUGCUACAAAAAUUCUGUUGGGAUUCAGUAGCUUGAUUGUUAAUCUUUUCAUGUUUAGGUGUGUCAUCAUCUCUUGGUUUUUAAAUAUUUUAUGAGUUUAGAUAAUCUCUUUGUUUUAAUAUAUUUUAUUUUAUGUCUGAACUCACCUUGAAUUUUUCUUCAACCUUGCUAGCCAUUGGCUCUAAUAUCACUUGUUGGGAUCGAAAUAAUAUGGUGCAUGCGAGAGCUAACAAAGAGAAUUUUGAUGAUACUAAAAAAACAUAAAACUUUAAUAUGGUUGGUCAAUUGACCUACAUAUAAUAAAAUUAAUUAUAAAGAAUUAUCUAAAGAAACAUUUCUCCCUAAUCAAAGCUCUUUGGUGUCUACAUUGUGAAAGUUGUAUUUCUUGCCGCAACUACUAGAGUUCUUUCACAUUUCUUGUCGACUUUCUUAGAUAUAUUCAUUGACUCAAAUUUUUUAGGUAAUGAAUCAGUACUGGUUGAUAAUACAUUCAAGAUAAUCCUGUCCUCGGGGUCAAAUAAUUCAAAAAUAUCAGGUGUAUUCGCUCAUAUAUCUCUUUAUUAGCUUCGUCUGAGAUAGGAAUCUCUGGCAAAUCCAUAAUAGUAAGAUCAGAAAAACUAUUCUUCUUUAGGAUUCGAGUCAAAGGGUUAUUAGAUAUUCCAUUUGAUAUGCCAACAAUUGUGUUUGUCACCCGACUUAUUUCUAAGGCUACACACCACUCAUCGUCAUCGGUAUUACUUCUCAUUGUCCUUGUUUUACUCAUAAAACUCGAGGGAAACCUCAAGUUUACGACUAUGAUGAUUUUGAAGCUUAAUAAGGACAGGAACUCGAGUGCAAAAGUGCCCUUUUAACGCAAUUUUGAUUCCGAUAAGGUAUGCAAUAACGCUAGAUGUACCUAAAUAUACCAACUAGAACAAUUGUAGGCACUACAGGGGGUUGGAUACAUUGUUGCAUAGCGUUUAAGCGUCGUUGCAGUUUAUUAACGAAAUCAAAGAGCGUGGGUCGGAUUGUUUCAUCAUUAUAUGAAGAGACAAUAGAUGGUACAUAAUCUUCUUCUGGUUGCGAAUUGAUUUUCUUUCAUUAAUGUCCAUUGUUUGUUCUUUGUUCCAAGAAAAGAUAGAAUGUCACGUUUAGGAUUUAAACACGUGAAUUAAAGCAAGUUUUGAAUAUUCUUUGCCACUUUAUUAAAUUUUUUUCUUAUAUUAAAGGGAAUCAACAUUUUAUCCAGUUAAUGAUAUAAAGUAUGGCCCGUUUUCACUAUAUAAACAACUUGUUCUCUUCAUAUUCAUUGUGCUUAAAACAACUUUCUUCUCCAUUUUCUUUCUAGUGACAGAUACUAUAGUUUAUUCAAAACUCCAAUGGGCAGUAGUGUUAAAGUACUUAAAGAUGAAUUAUAGAAACAAUUGCUGCAAUUGAAAAGUCUCCUCCUCAUUCUGAUACUCAGGAAGAAGUGUAUCUUGAAAUUAAAAGGAUUUCAGAAUCUACAAAUGACUCACUAACCAAGCUUCUUUAGGGUGAUAUGGAGAGUUUCCUAAAAAUUCUGAAAUGGGGGCUGCUACUAAGAUACCAGCUCAUUUCAAGAGCUUCUACGACAGUAUUAAACUCAAACAAGUUCGUCAAAAUCAACAGAAAAAUUUUGUGGAAGAAAUUCAAGCCAUAUAGAAUAAGGAUAUGACUGACUUUUUGAACUUUUUCUUGCAAAAAAGGUUCAUGGAAAUGUCACAUCAUCUAAAGGAGUUGCCCUGUCUACAGUGGAGUUAUUUUUCAAAGAUUAUUUUCAAUGUAUUGGAGAGGCAUUGUGCAACUUUCCCUCAAAUUCCAAGCCCUAAAGAAGACAUGCGACAUUUAGUUGAAUCAGAGAAAGAUGCAUUGGCUGAUUGGCUACAAAAAUAAUAGGAGAUGGAAAGAUUGAUUUGCAAAACAAUCAAUCCAAAAUAUGAGGUAUUGGUUUUUCAAUCAUCUACCCUGGAGAAGAAGCUGAUGGAGGAGCUCUCAAAAGGUGCCAACACGAUGAUGCUUAACAUAUAAGCUUGGAGUUGGUCAACAUUGAUCAUUUAUCAAAUUAUAACAGUGAUAAUGUUCAGAAAGCAUUCCAAGUUUACAUAAAAGUUGAUAUUUAUUGGGAUAUUAUUUCAUUGAGAUUGCCUGAUUAUAUGCUGAUCUAUAUGACAUCAGCUAUCAGUAGGUUGGUUGAUAAUAUUUAAGGGGAUAUAUUUAUUCAUAUGUGUCGUAGUCUAAUGGAGGCAUGAUAAACAUUUCAUUUUUCCUGUUCUAUCUCCAAACGAGUGAUGCUUGAAGAGCGUCUAAAAGACCAUAAAAAGUAGUUGGUGGCCAUCAUAGAAGUUUAAUUUGUUUUUGAAUGUGAUCAAGUAUUAAGUGAUGCAUGAAAGGUAUUUUUUUGUGAUUUAUGUUCUUUUAGGUUAUUUUUUAAUUUAAAUUUUCGGGUUUGACGUAAUUAUGCUGCUACAAAAAUUCAGUUGGGAUGCAGUAGCUCGAUUGUUAAUUUUUUCAUGUUUAG
rnacentral:lncRNA from 1 species